GAGUUUGAUCGUGGCUCAGAACGAACGCUGGCGGCAGGCCUCAAACAUGCAAGUCUAGGGGGUGUAGCAAUACAUCACCGGCGGACGGGUGCGUAACGCGUGGGAAUAUACCUAUUGGUUCGGAACAACUGCGGGAAACUGCAGCUAAUACCGAAUGUGCCCUAACGGGGAAAGAUUUAUCGCCAAUGGAUUAGCCCGCGUAGGAUUAGCUAGUUGGUGGGGUAAUGGCUCACCAAGGCUCCGAUCCUUAGCUGUUCUGAGAGGAAGAUCAGCCACACUGGGACUGAGACACGGCCCAGACUCCUACGGGAGGCAGCAGUUGGGAAUCUUGGACAAUGGGGGAAACCCUGAUCCAGCCAUGCCGCGUGAGUGAUGAAGGCCUUCGGUUGUAAACUCUUUCGACGGGACGAUAAUGACGGUACCCGUACGAAGAAGCUCCGGCUAACUUCGUGCCAGCCGCCGC
rnacentral:rRNA from 1 species